rnacentral:lncRNA from 1 species
GAGAUUUGUUCUAUCUGUGAUAGCCCAGCCCAUCAUGUGAGUGAAUGUCUUAUAGCUGCACAGUUUCCACCUUUCAUCCAAGAACAAGUUCAAACUGCUCAAGGUUUCUCCAAUCCUGUCAAUGACCCAUUCUUAAACACAUAUAAAUAAGAUUGGAGGGUCCAUCCUAAUUUUUCUUGGAGACCCCAACUGACUCAACCUAGACCCAAAUUUUUUUCUAUGUAGAACUUUCAGAAUAGGCCCCAACACCAAAAUUAUGCUUAUAAUAGAGGUCAGCCUACUCAGCCUACUCAGCCAUCCUAUUACAAUCAGCCUUCAUACCCACCUCCUCAACAAACCCCUCUAGCCGAUGAUAGGUUUAGCCAACUUCAACAAAUGAUUAUGAUCCAACAGCAAUCUCUCGCUAGGCUAGAAGCACAAAUAGGUCAAUUAGCUGAGUCUACCAUGAGGAAAAAAUUAGGUCAACUAUCAAGCCAAUCAAUAUCGAAUUUUAAAAAUAACCUAACCACCC